AUGUGGACUGGGUUGUCGCGCACCGGGAAGGAUGAGGAAAACGGCAACCCAACCACUAUAGUGGAAAUAAGAGCUGACGGUCGUGGACUGCUGCUCGGCAUGAACUCGACCGUCAGGAUGCCACGGGGCUGGAUUGGGGACGGUGCUGGACAUAUUGGAGAAGUGGCCAAAGAGCUUAGAGCAGCAGUGUACAUCAGCAAAGGACUGCUCGUGCACAAGGAGAUGGAGGGGCGAAGUGUGUGCCUCCCGAGCCACGGCAUUGAACUGCUUCGGGUUGUGUCGUUGAACGAUCCGGUGUGGUGGCGGUGA
rnacentral:rRNA from 1 species